GGCAGGCAGCAUGGAUGACAGACGGCUUGAGGUUUCAGGCUUAUAGUUUGAUGCUUUGAACCAUUUAUCUUCUUGACACUUGGAGGCUGUACCAUCUACCACUUCCGUUUUCGUCACUACUUCCAUUAUAAAGUUUUCUGUGUCAGAUUAUAUAUUUUUUUCAUAUACCUAAAAACCGCCCCACCCCCAUCUUCCCUACCCCUGAAAUUGGUCCCUUCACUCAGUGGUGGUGACUCGUGCGGUGGUGGUGGUUUGUGAUAUUUUUCAUGGUGAGAGAAGUAGAGAAAAGGGGAAUGCGACUAGGGAAGUAUGAGCUCGGAAGAACUCUAGGCGAAGGAAAUUUUGGAAAGGUCAAAUACGCAAGGCACCUUGACUCUGGCCAAGGUUUUGCUGUUAAGAUCUUGGAUAAAAAGAGGAUCCUCGACCUCAAAAUCAGCGAUCAGAUAAAGAGAGAAAUCGGCUCCCUCAAACUACUGAAACACCCAAACGUAGUCAGAUUGCAUGAGUAUUUGUUGCCCAACUGAUCCAUAAUAAUCCUAAAGAAGAAGCUCCCCAGAAAGAAAGGCGAGAAUCUCUUCAUAAUUUAAGGAAAAAAUCCAUACCAAAUCAUAUUCUUUGCGUUGCCUUCUAUCCUCCGGCUUUCGGGGGAAAUUUUUUAAGUCAAAUAAAAAAUUUUCUACCAAAAAAUUAUGUUAAAUAAAAAUUUUAAAUUGGAUACUUUAGGUUAUGUACUAAUUACGAACAGUGAGAAUAUCUUUUUUCCAUUUCUUUUUUCUGGACGGAACCUCUUCUCCCGUUAGUUAGCUCUCAUGAGUCCAUGACGGGAGCAAAAGUCCCAAAAAACAGGGGAGUCGCAGGGUCGCAGCAGCCAAGGAGUCAAAUUUCAGCCCGAACUGCUUGGACCAACAAAAAUUGACUGUUCCAAUCCGGAUUGAACCGAAUCGAAUUCUUAUUUUGGAACAGAAAACCAAAUUGAAUCCAAAAAAAAAGGAUCGGAUCGGAACAGAGACCAACUAGAAUUGUUCUUCAUCUUAUCGAGCCGGCUUCUAUUUGGUCCAGUUAAGACUAUGACCGAUUCACUCCGAUCGAAACUGAAACCCCAAAAUUAUUAUCCUAUUAAGUAUUCAUUAAAAAAAAAAUUAAAUUAUCCUAUCAAAUAUGAAAGGGUGUGUGGGGCCAUAGUGAGGCAGGGUACAUACGGAUGCUGUGGGUGGAUGCGUUUGAUCUCGACGCAAUAAUUAAUGCCACCUUUUGUGACAGUUUUGGAUGUGACGAGAGGAAUGAUUUUCUAGUGAGUAAUGGUGUGGGUGCUUUAAUAAUUUAUCUGAGAAUGGGCUCAUCCAUUUUUAU